GUCAAGGGGAAAGGUUGGGGUGGAUGGGGCUCCUGGGGGAAGUCUCUACUGACCAGUGCCACAUCUACUGUGGGUAACAGUCUAACUUCAGUAAAGGAGAAGGCCGGAGCUCUGCGUCUUCACAGGACCUCAGUAGGAGAGGAGGCGCGAGAGGAGGGAGAGGAGGAGAGGAAGGAGGGAGGAGAGGAAGAGGAGGAUAGCUGUCCUCAGUCAGCCCUGGUCACCACUCCACCACCAAGCAGAGGAGUACUGUCUACCAUCACACAUGCUGGUAAAUCAGUGAUCAGUGGAGGUCUCGAUGCCUUAGAGUUCAUCGGUAAGAGAACCAUGACGGUCCUGGCAGAGACUGACCCUGGUUUCAGGAAGACCAAGAUACUAAUGCAGAGG